rnacentral:rRNA from 1 species
CGACCUCAAAUCAAACGAAACAACCCGCUAAAUUUAACCAUAUUACAAAGGGGGGGGAAAAAACACCCCCCCCGGGAUUCCCUCAUAACCGCGAGC